rnacentral:rRNA from 1 species
AUACGGAGGGUGCGAGCGUUAAUCGGAAUUACUGGGCGUAAAGCGUACGUAGGCGGUUGGUUAAGUUAGAUGUGAAAGCCCCGGGCUUAACCUGGGAACUGCAUUCGAAACUCCCGGACUUGAGUGUGAGAGGGGUGAAGAGAAUUCCCGGUGUAAGGGUGAAAUCUGCAGAGAUCGGGAGGAAUACCAGUCGCGAAGGCGCUUCGCUGGCUCACAACUGACGCUGAGGGACGAAAGCUAGGGUAGCAAACGGGAUUAGAAACCCCAGUAGUCC